UACAAAAGGAAAUGAAGGGAAGCUUCAAAAUUUAGUUUCCCCGCGAUUUUUCUCUAUACCAACAUCUCCAUGUUUGACAUCACUUAUUUAUUAGCUUUGCAUUUAUCUCAUGCCAUCACUUUGGCAUCAUCUCACCAUGCUCAUAUACACGCCCUACAACCAAACAUCAAAGAUAAGGUGAAAAUUCAAACUUCAUCAAUACAUACCAUAUACAUCAUACUUUAUUUGGAUUAAGAAUUGAAUUAAAAAGAAAAGUCAAAACAACUCAGAAUCAACACAGCAUCAUUCAACAUACAAAUAUCACAUACAGCCACCCCAAUUGAAUUAAUCAAAAGAAAAAAAAUCAAGUUGGCAUUGCAAAACGUGCGAGCAAGCAUAAUCAAUUCAACAUCCAUCAUAUCAUAACACAUACAACAUACACCAUAUAGAGUUCAUUGAGAAAUUGAGAUAAACAAAAACAAAACAAAAAUCAAAUUGGAAACAAGCAUCAACCUGCAACAAACGUGUGAAGCAUCUCAACAUACUCUAUGCCAUCAAAAUCAUACAUUAAAAAAGAACACAAUAUAACGAACAUCCUCCACCCAAUUGAUCCUAACCAUCCACUAAACUCAUUCACGAGGAUUACAAACAUCUCACAAGGAUUAUCACACACUCCCUCCAAUUUCAUUACCAAGCAAAAUAUUUUCCCUCCCAAUCUCACUUCCCUCAUCUAUAAAAUGAAUCAUUCACUACACUCUUCAGAGGAGGAAAACCCUAAGCUAAACGAAAUCUCAGAGCUAUCAGAGAGCAACAAUACUCGAAGAAUCCUUCACCAAAAGAUCACCUAGAGAUCUUUUAUUUUCAAAGUUGUUCAGAGCUUCAUAUUUGAAGCUCUUAAUCACCUUGAGCUAAACCUAAAACAACAACCACGUAGAAGGGGUAGAAGGUUGAUUCGAGCAAAAUUCAAACAAAACAUAGAGGAAGUAGAGAAUAAGAACUUACUUUGGGGAGGUCGCCACCCUGGGAACGUCCGGAUCGAUAACUUUUUUCGUUUCUUUUAUUUUUCUCUUGUUGGAUUGUUGUCGAUUGGUGCUUUUCUAACCUUUUUCCACUUUAAUUUCUUUAAAACCUUGUUGUUUGG
rnacentral:lncRNA from 1 species